rnacentral:tRNA from 1 species
CUCGAAAUUGCUCAGUUAGAAGAGCGUUAGACUAUGAAUCGAAAGGUCCCUGGUUCGAUCCCGGGAUUCGGCA